rnacentral:lncRNA from 10 species
AAGCAGUUUGCAGGAGAGGGGCAAGCACACAGGACUGCCCAGCACACUUGCCCACGAUGCACACUGCAGGGGCUGAGAACGUGUUGGGAAAAGCAAAGAAAUACUUGGCAGUGUCCCCAGGACUCUGGGGAUAUGAUUAACUGUUGAUCAGAGUUUCAUGGACUGAACACACAUACGCUUCCAGGGAACACACUGAACACACAUACGCUUCCAGUGUGACCUGCUCCGUGAGUGUGGCUUCAAAUUGUCUCCACCACAGGCCAACAAAUUUAGGACAAGCCUCCCUCCCCAUGCUGCAGUGGAGGAAACGGAAGCUUUAGGAAGAGAAGUGCCUUCUACAAGCUCCACGGCUGGAAAAUGGGCAAAGUCAGGACUCAAACCCUGGUGACUCCAGGGCCCCAGGCCUGGGAAAAAGUGAACCUUCAAGGCGGGAAGGGGAAAUCUUCCCUUGGUCUCCACGGUCUCUAAAGGACGGCUGACAGAGAGAGACAUUUGUCCACUGGUUCCCCAACAACCUCCCAACACCUUUGUUGGCUGAAAGUUGACCCCAAGACAGUCAACUCUCCGGACUUUCCAGCUGCCUUGGAAAAACCCUAAAUGUCCGCCCCAGCUGCAGUCGAAAUUAGAGGUGGGUUAAGCAGAUCUGGUGUGUGCCAGAAAUAGCAUUGGUUGCAUUGUGUUUUUUUAAAUAUGUAAAUACCUCAACCACAUACUAACAAAAACAUACAUGUUGUAUUUUGGGUAGAUUCAUGCCCAAAGCAGUCUGGGACCUCAGAAAUACGGUGUGUGGGGAAGGAAGGACUAGAAGCUGGCCCACACGGGAAGAAGUCUCCAGGGGGCAAGAGUGUGUCAG